GGAGAGUGAGAAAGAAAGAGUGCUGGGCGUGCAGAUCAUAUUUCACAUCACAUCAGAGCUGUGGAAUUUCCUCUCUUCUAGGGGGAGGCCUGUGAAGAGAGAAGUUGGUUUAAGGAUGGAGUCCAUGUAUGGAUUUUAUUUGUGUCUGACCCCUGUGGUAUGCAGAGCCUUGAGCUGCGGGCUGCGAAGGGGAGCGAAAGGAAUGGGAUGGUAAUUAGAAAAAGCAGAAAGCUGUUUGGGAUUUUUCAGUCUAUCGGGGUCAUCAUUUUCAAACAUCUGUUAGCGCC